CUGGCAUUUUUUUUGGGACACACAACAGACUCUCUGAACUUUGCAGUCUGAUAUCACGAGCCCUGACGAGGCAGCAGUGCAUCCCACUGUACGUCUGGA